CGUAAGCCCCAUUCCACAACCAAUUAGAGUAGAGCAGUUCCUCUUCAGUGUGAGAGUGUACCUGACGGGUAACGAGAGCGCUCUUUGGGUCUCUUUUCUAUCGCUUGACACUGUCGGUAGAGGAUGUCUGCACAGGUCCCCUGUGCUGCGGUACAACUCCCUAUGCUGUAGAGGAACGACGGGGGCUGUGCUGUAACCAGACGUUGCACCGUUGGGUGGAGGCUGGGCACCAGUGCUCCCCAGGUGGCCACUUGUAUCUGCCAUCCCGUGAAAUGGUGUGUGAGUCACGCGUUCAUCUCAACAAUCCAGGCAAACACUGCUGUGGAAAAGAGACCUUCUACCCUGAGAAUGAAAUCUGCUGCAGUGGACACAAACACCGCACAUUGGGGAACAUGUCCUGCUGCGGAGGGAAGGCCUACGACCCCAGCAGUGGCCAGAUGAAGUGCUGUGCAGAGACUCUGUACAACCUGCAGGUUCAGGACAGGCUCUCCGAGGAGGCCCAAUGCUGUGGGAAUGUCCUGAUGGAGGCCGGCUCCACCCAGACCUGCUGCUCUGCCCCAGGGCUAGACCUGCUCUACCCUACCCAGCCAGGGUUCACCUGCUGUGGGCACCGCUACCCCAAUUCCUCCCUGUGGUCUUGCUGUGCGGGGGUCCUGCACCCAAGGACUGAACGAAACACCACCAGCAUGAACAUGAUUCCAGGACCCAGGCUUCUACCACUGGGGGAUUUGAAGAAGGAAGAUCUAUGUUACACCGAAGUUUUGCUAGGGACAGUGGAGAGUGUGUCUGUGAAUAAGAAUAAGCGAUCCAUCGUGAUGGUGAACGUCAUGUCCAUGCAGGCCUGCCGUGGCCAUGUCAACGCUCUGCCUUCCCCUCAAUACCUCACAUUACCCGACCACUGCAGCUCUCCUGAAUUGGUGCCGGGCAACACUUACCUCUGGGUGAAAACAAGACAUUUCUCAGACACCAUAAACGUAAUCUCUGAUCUCAGCGACCAUUCCUCCCCUCUCCAUUCCAUCCUCUUCAGGUGCUCAAAAUGA
rnacentral:lncRNA from 1 species